rnacentral:tRNA from 1 species
GGCUCUGUGGCUCAACUGGAUAGAGUAGCCCCCUCCUAAGGGGCAGGUUGGUGGUUCGAAUCCACCCAGGGUCACCA